UACGUAGGGUGCGAGCGUUAAUCGGAAUUACUGGGCGUAAAGCGUGCGCAGGCGGUUCGCUGUGUCCUGUGUGAAAGCCCCGGGCUUAACCUGGGAAUGGCAUGGGAAACCGGCGGGCUGGAGUGUGGCAGAGGGGGGUGGAAUUCCGCGUGUAGCAGUGAAAUGCGUAGAGAUGCGGAGGAACACCGAUGGCGAAGGCAGCCCCCUGGGCUAACACUGACGCUCAGGCACGAAAGCGUGGGGAGCAAACAGG
rnacentral:rRNA from 1 species